AAAUUAUCCUCAUAAGUUAGACGAAAAGAGGUACCAUUUAUAUUUUCUAUUUAAUGGAAUUGAUAAAUGGUGGCACAGAAUCGGAGGCCACGACUGUUUACUAAAAACACAACACAGUGCAAUCAUUAAUAUGGUAGUAUACUGUGUGAAAUUUGCCCAAUGCCAUUAAUAUAAAAGCGGUCAUGGGAAACUGUGACUAAUUGAAAAUCUGGUUAAUAGCGGUCUUAACCAUGAGGAUCCUAAGGUAGCAAAAUAAAUUGGCCAUUAAAUGUGGUCCGGUAUCAAUAAUGUAACGAUGGCCUCACUGUCUCUACAACUUGCUCAGUGAAAUUGAAUUACGCGUGCAGAUGCGCGUUACCUCCAGUGGGACGGGAAGACCCUAUGCAGCUUCU
rnacentral:rRNA from 2 species